GCCAUACAAUAAUUAAAGAAAAACCCCAACGGUCAAAACGACCCCCUGUGAGCAAGCACUUGGCAACAAAAAUGUGCAGCGUAACAGCGGUUUACGCCAGCUCAGGGGGAAAAAAAAAAAAAAAACAUUAAAGGAAUAGCAUUUUUCACAUCAGGAAUAUAAUCAUGUUUCUGUGAAAUGAAACACUUCUAAACUGUACCUGUCACCACUUUAUUUUUAAGGAGACAAAUUGGUAAGGUGGCUUUAAAUUCUUUUUAAAAUGCCACAAAGUGAUUUUAAACCGGGAUACAUAAGAGCAAAAAAGAAAGAAAGCAGAAGGUAUAUAAAGGACAAAGAAUUGACCACAGGUUAAAUAAAAAAAACACACAAAAAAAAAAAAUCACAGUACACCAUAGUUUUAAAGAAUGAUGACCUACUAGACAUUAUGAAACUUAGGUGCUCAAAAAACAAAGACACAAUGAUGACCAGUUGGCAACCUUAACACACUCACUCCAGUUACCAAACAUACACAACAACAAAGUGACUAAAUAACUGUGCAGUUCAACAAAUUAUAAUAAAAUUAGAACAAGCAGAAUCUCAACUUAAUUACUGUUUAUGUUUUCUGUUGUCCGUGCCUGUCGUUGGGAGCGUCCGUACACUACACUUGUGCGUUCGUGUUGAAGGCAGCAACACAACUUAAGUUUUCACAAAUCUUUUUAGUCAAGUUCAACUUUUUUGUCUCGUAACAUAAAUGCUGUUGCAUUCUGAUCAUAUUUGAAAUAACUAGUGACCAAACGCUAAUUGGCUAAGAACAUUAAUACCAUAUUAAUAAAUAAUAAUAAUAAAAAAAAAACAUGCACAGAAUCCUGCUGUUAUUCUAGUUACACCACAGUCACUUUAGUGAAUAUUUUCUAGCUAUUCGUAACCUGAGUGUAUUCAAGUACUGUGGAUGUCAUAAAUAUGUGCAGUACUGUUGGAGAAGGAAGUAAAGCCAUUUUUGACUUCGUAACAAAGAAAAGUGUCAGCUUCAAAGUUAAACACCAAGAUGUCGGUAGAUCAGGCUUCUCAAUAUAAAUGUUUCUAAAAUUAUCUUCCCUAGACUCAAACUGAAAGUAAAUCUGUACAUAAAUUAAUUACAAAUAUAAAAAUCUAGAUGAUGGGUUGCAUAAGUAAUAGCCCCUUUGGUAUAAUACUUGUAAAUAACCAGUGUAAUUUCCAGUUUUCCUCAGACAAGUCAGAGAAUGGAUACAUGAACAUUUCCAAGUUACUGAAUAUGUCUUGAACUUUAUUUACAUCAGUUUUGCAGAAAUACAAACAGUAUGGCACUCUAUGGUAAAUCUGUGUGGAGCAGACAGUUCUCAAAAACUGAGUGACUGUGCAAGAAGGAGAACAGUGAGGAAAGCCACCAAGACACCCAGACAACCCAGAAAAAGUUACAGGCUUCUGUGGCUGUGAUUGGAGAAAUUGUACAUAGUGCAAGUUUUGUACUUUGUAUCCCCAGUUUCACAGCUUCAUAAUGAAGGGGUAUAGAGGAGAUUUACUUUCACCAAAAUAUCAAA